AUUGAACGCUGGCGGCAGGCCUAACACAUGCAAGUCGAGCGGUAGAGAGGUGCUUGCAUCUCUUGAGAGCGGCGGACGGGUGAGUAAUGCCUAGGAAUCUGCCUAGUGGUGGGGGAUAACGUUCGGAAACGGACGCUAAUACCGCAUACGUCCUACGGGAGAAAGCGGGGGAUCUUCGGACCUCGCGCCAUUAGAUGAGCCUAGGUCGGAUUAGCUAGUUGGUGAGGUAAUGGCUCACCAAGGCGACGAUCCGUAACUGGUCUGAGAGGAUGAUCAGUCACACUGGAACUGAGACACGGUCCAGACUCCUACGGGAGGCAGCAGUGGGGAAUAUUGGACAAUGGGCGAAAGCCUGAUCCAGCCAUGCCGCGUGUGUGAAGAAGGUCUUCGGGUUGUAAACUGCUUUGUACGGAACGAAACGGUGAGCUCUAAUACAGUUUGCUAAUGACGGUACCGUAAGAAUAAGCA
rnacentral:rRNA from 1 species